rnacentral:sRNA from 1 species
CCGCCUUGCCUUUCAGGCAUCCUCUCCCAAACUUUCCAAGGCUGGCCUACGGGCUGGCCUUUCUUUUUGCGCGCU